rnacentral:rRNA from 1 species
CUGGUGUUCGGGUUGUCAUGCCAAUGGCACUGCCCGGUAGCUAAAUGCGGAAGAGAUAAGUGCUGAAAGCAUCUAAGCACGAAACUUGCCCCGAGAUGAGUUCUCCCUGAGACUUUAAGUCUCCUGAAGGAACGUUAAAGACGAUGACGUUGAUAGGCCGGGUGUGUAAGCGCAGCGAUGCGUUGAGCUAACCGGUACUAAUGAACCGUGAGGCUUAACCUUACAACGCCGAAG